GAUGAACGCUGGCGGCGUGCUUAACACAUGCAAGUCGAACGGAAAGGCCCAAGCUUGCUUGGGUACUCGAGUGGCGAACGGGUGAGUAACACGUGGGUGAUCUGCCCUGCACUUCGGGAUAAGCCUGGGAAACUGGGUCUAAUACCGGAUAGGACCACUUCUUGGUUGUUGUGGUGGAAAGUUUUUUCGGUGUGGGAUGAGCUCGCGGCCUAUCCGCUUGUUGGUGGGGUAAUGGCCUACCAAGGCGUCGUCGGGUAGCCGGCCUGAGAGGGUGUACGGCCACAUUGGGACUGAGAUACGGCCCAGACUCCUACGGGAGGCAGCAGGGGGGAAUAUUGCAAAAUGGGCGCAAGCCUGAUGCAGCGAAGCCGCGUGGGGGAUGACGGCCUUCGGGUUGUAAACUCCUUUCGCUAGGGACGAAGCGUUUUGUGACGGUACCUGGAGAAGAAGCACCGGCUAACUACGUG
rnacentral:rRNA from 1 species